UGCUGUGCAAGUUCAACGGCAGUCAAAC
rnacentral:sRNA from 1 species